rnacentral:rRNA from 1 species
GAUGAACGCUGGCGGCGUGCCUAAUACAUGCAAGUCGAGCGAACAGACGAGGAGCUUGCUCCUCUGACGUUAGCGGCGGACGGGUGAGUAACACGUGGAUAACCUACCUAUAAGACUGGGAUAACUUCGGGAAACCGGAGCUAAUACCGGAUAAUAUAUUGAACCGCAUGGUUCAAUAGUGAAAGACGGUUUUGCUGUCACUUAUAGAUGGAUCCGCGCCGCAUUAGCUAGUUGGUAAGGUAACGGCUUACCAAGGCAACGAUGCGUAGCCGACCUGAGAGGCUGAUAGGCCACACGGGAGGGGGGACACGGUCCAGACUCCUACGGGAGGCAGCAGUAGGGAACCGUCCGCAGUAGGCGAAAGCCUGGCGGAGCAACGCCGCGUGAGUGAUGAAGGUCUUCGGAUCGUAAAACUCUGUUAUGAGGGAAGAACAAAUGUGUAAGGAACUAUGCACGUCUUGACGGUACCUAAUCAGAAAGCCACGGCUAACUACGUG